UACGGAGGGAGCUAGCGUUGUUCGGAAUUACUGGGCGUAAAGCGCACGUAGGCGGCUUUGUAAGGUAGAGGUGAAAGCCCGGGGCUCAACUCCGGAACUGCCUUUAAGACUGCAUCGCUUGAAUCCAGGAGAGGUGAGUGGAAUUCCGAGUGUAGAGGUGAAAUUCGUAGAUAUUCGGAAGAACACCAGUGGCGAAGGCGGCUCACUGGACUGGUAUUGACGCUGAGGUGCGAAAGCGUGGGGAGCAAACAGG
rnacentral:rRNA from 1 species